rnacentral:rRNA from 1 species
UACGAAGGGGGCUAGCGUUGCUCGGAAUCACUGGGCGUAAAGGGUGCGUAGGCGGGUUUUAAGUCAGAGGUGAAAUCCUGGAGCUCAACUCCAGAACUGCCUUUGAUACUGAAAGUCUUGAGUAUGGGAGAGGUGAGUGGAACUGCGAGUGUAGAGGUGAAAUUCGUAGAUAUUCGCAAGAACACCAGUGGCGAAGGCGGCUCACUGGCCCAUUACUGACGCUGAGGCUACGAAAGCGUGGGGAGCAAGCAGGAGUAGAAUCCGAUA